AAGACAGGUAAAGCUAAUAUAUAUAGGUUCACAGUUGGACUAUUUAUAUCUUUUAAUAUCUGCUAUAUCCUUACCUAAUUUAUAUUUUUCAUUUUCCUCUCAGUAUCUAAGGUCAACAAACUGGGGGCGAUGCAGCUGCUUUAUCAACAAAACCUUUUGAACACAAAGGGAAUCUCCAGCCUGGACUUCAUAUCAAGCUAUUUGUUUAUUUCAGCAGGAAACUACUGAUUAAAUAUGACUUUGUUGCAUCAGUAGUACAAACACACAUUCAACCCAUAACUCAACUAUUUCAUUUACUUGCACAACCUCAGGGCAGAAAAAUGCCAGACUUCAGAUUUAAUUGUUUUAACUUAUUAUAUCUUACUUAUAUCUUUUAAUAUCUGCAACAUAUUCACCUAAUAUAAAUAUCUUCUCUAUUUUCCUCUCAGAAGCUGAGUCAACCUCAGAGGAGAGAAAUAACACAACAACAACACAGAUCAACCUCGACAAUGGAAUAUUUUGCAGGAGAAAUUAUAUGUUUUAACAUUUCAAACAGACAACGAAUUAAUAUUAUGAAUAGAUGUUUGUAUUUACGGCAUGCAGGACAUGAUCUGGCACGUCUACAGCCUCCAGCCGUUGACAGACAGGUCAUAUGCAGCAUCCUGAAGGCUCUUGCAUUCAGCCUGCAGGCUUGGACCGCUGGAGAACUCUGCGGACGAAGGCCAGCGCUCCACCCAGGUGACCUUCGCCAUCAUGGAGACGAAUCUGACACGAGGAGCAAAAACAGGGGUUUGGUUGAAUGUAGGCCUGAGAUGUUAAGAGGGAAGACUUGUUCUUCAUUUCCUCUAUGACCUUGUGAUCGAUUGGAAGCUCAGGAUUCCUUUUCCUCGGACCAGGAAAAAUUAACCAAAUAACCAUUUUCUUUUCCAACUCGGUUUUUAUUUUAAAGACACCUGGAAAACGACAUUGACGAAAAGAGCCAACAGCUCAAAAUUAUUUUCUCCGAUGGAUGACAAAGUGCACUGCUGUGUCAACUGUUAAAUCUUUCUUUGAUUUAUCUCUCUGUCCUUCUUAAGACACUGAACUGAUGCGAUUAAAAGCGUCUGAGUUUUUCUGCUGCUGCGAUGCGGAGGAAACAGGUUUGGUAACGACAGUGUCACGGACGUCGUUUCUCACAGUCUUAAAUUAAGAAGUUCAUAGUUUGCACAAAACCACAAGUAACUUCUGUCUUUUAGAUCUUAUCUGCCGCCAGCUGGCUCAGCAUUCAUGUUAAUUGAGUAGUGUAAAGAGGAAGGAAGUUGGAUGUAUUAACCAGCUUGACUUCUCUCUUUGGUCUCCACUUUCACGCUCUUCUGUGAUCUGUGACGUGAGUUAUGCACAUUAUUUGUCUGCAGACUCAUUUUUAUUGUGUUUGACGGUGAUUGCAGCAGCUACUAUGAGUGUAACAGCAGCAGCGAGUGGAUUUGUUGUCCUUCUUCUUACUGUGCCAGUGGUGCUGAGUCAGAGUGGAUGGAGUGUGACUUACGAUGCUCUUGAGUCUAAGAUCUGUGCCCCCAGAGGAUCAACAGUGACCAUUCACUGCAACUACGCAUACCCACUCAGACACACCCCGAAUAGGGCAGUGUCGGAAUCAUUCUGGUUUAUAAAAGACAGUAUUGGGGUUUAUGCGGAUCUGAGAACAGACCCGCAGUACUCAGGUCGCGUGCUGUAUGACUGUGAAAAAGAAGAGAAAAAGUGCACCCUGAUCAUCAGUGACGUGAGACAGAGCGACUCCGCUGAGUACAAGUUCAGGUUCACAACAAACCAACCUGCAGACUCUUGGACUGGUUCACCUGGAGUCACGUUGUCUGUUGCAGAUUUUCAGGUACAGGUGAGAAGUUCAAACCAGUAUUCAUCUCACAAAGAGCUCAUGUGUCAGAGCAGUUGUCCUCUCCCUCAUACUCUGACCUACGUCUGGUACAACAAUCAGCGGGAGAUUCAGAGAGGACCUUCUCCGUCUUAUUCAAGUAUAUUUUAUUCUGGAGAUAUAGUUUCCUGUGCCGUUAAAGACAACGAGAGGUCCCGCUCCCCGCCAAUGUUGGUGCAGAGUCAGAAUGGAUGGGGUGUGAGUUACGCUUCGACUGAGAUCUGUGCCUUCGGAGGAUCAACAGUGGAUAUUAAUUGCACCUACACAUACCCAGGAAAACUGAAUAACAAGGCCACUUCACUGUCGAGAUCAUUCUGGUUUGUUAAAGACCCUUAUUUGGAUCUGACAACAGAUCCGAAGUAUUCAGGUCGUGUGGAGUACACCUGUGAAGACAACAAGUGCUGUCUGAGAAUCAGUGACCUGAGACAGAGCGACUCAGCUGAGUACAAGUUCAGGUUCAUAACAAACCAACCUGCAGACUCUUGGACUGGUUCACCUGGAGUCACAUUGUCUGUCAAAGACCCUCAGCUCCAGGUACACGUGAGGAGAUCAAUGAACAUUCAGAUUUCUAACUGGACAGAGCUGACAUGUCACAGCAGCUGUCAGCUUCCUCAUCAUCUUUCCUACGUCUGGUACAACAAACACAACCAAGUUAAAGGGGGAAAAAAAUAUUUUCUCCUUGAACACGUUGAAGCUGCAGACAGUUAUUACUGUGCUAUAAAAGGACAUGAGCAUAUCCGUUCUGCUUCUGUGUGUGCUCCAGAGGUUCCCGUUGUCUCGAGUCCCAGUGGUGAAAUCAUGGAGGGCAGCUCAGUGACUCUGACCUGCAGCAGUGAUGCUCAACCAGCAGCCAAUUACACCUGGUACAAGAAAAAUGAAAGGGAAGAAUUUCAACUUCUCCUUGAAGGGACUCAGUUUGUUUUCAGCUCCAUCCAGUCGUCAGACUCUGGAGUGUAUCACUGCACAGCUGAGAAUGAGCUGGGAAGGAAUUCAACAGACAUUAUAAUUGCUGUGAAAUAUGCUCCCAGGUCUCCCUCCGUGUCAGUGAGUCCCACUGGUGAGAUAGUGGAGGGCAGCUCAGUGAGUCUGACCUGCAGCAGUGAUGCUAAUCCAGCAGCCAAUUGUACCUGGUACAGGAACCAUACGAGGAUUGGGGAACAGAAAAACAUUUAUCAUUUCACUGCCAUCAGCUCUGGGGACAGAGGGGUUUACCACUGCAAAUGUGAGAAUAAACAUGGACACAACUCGACAUCGAAAUCCAUAGAUGUCCUGUAUGCUCCCAAGCUUCCCUCCGUGUCAGUGAGUCCCAGUGGUGAGAUAGUGGAGGGCAGCUCAGUGAAUCUGACCUGCAGCAGUGAUGCUAAUCCACCAGCUGAUUACACCUGGUACAAGGAGAACAGCGACUCAGCAAAAGCAUCAGAGCAGAUCUUCAUCAUCGCUGAUGUCAGAGCUGAACACGGUGGGAAUUAUCUCUGCGCAGCCCAGAACAUACGAGGGCGCCACAAUUCCACCGUAAGAUUGACGGUUAAGGCAGUUUCCCUUGGAGCAUGGAAAUCUGCUGUCAUUCUAAUAACCUCUGGUGUUUUCCUCGGAAUAAUACUUCUCUUCACCUUCUUCCUGAUAAGAAAAAUGAGGACCUCCAAGCAAUCAUCCCAACCCGGAGACCGAUCUGACAACAGUGAGAAGUUUCCUUCCAAUCAGUCGGAGGAACAGCGUGACUUUCACUCUGCCACUGUCCACUUCUUGAAGUACCAGACAGAUCCUAUCUACUCCAACAUCCGACCGGUAGGAGCCAGCAGACAUGAGGAGGAUGAUGAUGAUGAUGACGAAGAGGAGGAGGAUGAGGUUGCGUACGCUACUGUCACCUUUAAAAGUUCUGACCCGAGCAGAGUACAGGACACUGGAGAGGAUCCAGCCACGUUGUACAGUACAGUCUCGAAAAACUUCUGAUCUGUAGACCGACGUCUGCAGACUGAAAUAUCUCAACAACUACUGGAUGGAUUUACACAGAAAAGCUGAGGUCAACCUCCGGGGACACAUAUAACACGACAACACAGAUCAACCUCGACAAUGGAAUAUUUUGCAGGAGAAAUUAUAUGUUUUAACAUUUCAAACAGACAACAAGGUAAUAUUAUGAAUAGAUAUUUGGCUUUACUGCAUGCAGGACAUGAUCUGGCACGUCUACAGCCUGCAGCCGUUGACAGACAGGUCAUAUGCAGCAUCCUGAAGGCUCUUGCAUUUAGCUUGCAGGCUUGAACUGCUGGAGAACUCUGCAGAUGAAGGCCAAAGCUCCACCCAGGUGACCUUCCCCAACAUGUAGACAAGUCUGAUUUAAGAAACAAAAACAGGGAUUGGUUAAAUGUAGCCUUCAGAUCUUAAUAGGAAUGAUUUGUUGUUCCUGCCAUCUAAUAGAGGCCAGAAACUCAGGAUUAAUUUCUCCUGACCAGGAAAAAUGAAUGAAGAGGAGCAGAGAUGUAACAUCACAUCUAGGCGCAUGACACCUGGAAUUGUUUUGUAUUUUUACUGUUAUGAUGUUAUUGAUAAAGAUAGGCUCUUCACACUUAGAUCAAAUGCAAUUAAUAAAUUCUAAAUCCAUUAAAUCAGAUAAUCAACAUCUCUGUAUGAUCGUAUUGAUUAAAAAUCAUGUUGCAAUUA